UACGAAGGGGGCUAGCGUUGCUCGGAAUGACUGGGCGUAAAGCGUGCGCAGGCGGUUGUGUAAGUCUGUCGUGAAAUCCCCGGGCUCAACCUGGGAAUUGCGAUGGAGACUGCACGGCUAGAGUGUGUCAGAGGGGGGUAGAAUUCCACGUGUAGCAGUGAAAUGCGUAGAUAUGUGGAGGAACACCGAUGGCGAAGGCAGCCCCCUGGGAUAACACUGACGCUCAUGCACGAAAGCGUGGGGAGCAAACAGG
rnacentral:rRNA from 1 species